UGUGGGCUUGUUAGGGUUUUUCCUCUCUCAUGAGGCUGAAGUGCCGGUGCAAGAGGGUGGUGAUGAAGCAGCGGCUAAGAGGCGAGAAUGGAGCAAGGUGGGGAUGUGGCUAAGAGGCAUAUACGUUCCCAGAGCUCGUGUCGGAGCCUUCUGGUGUUGGUCCAUAGUUAAAACCCUUGUGGCAGCUGUGAGGAGUGAGGGGUGCAGAGUGGGUACUGUGGACGAGAGGUGAGGCCCCUUCCUAGCGUCAAUGGUGAAGACCCGAGUAGUGAUCACCGAUGAAGCUCUCUUGGCAGAGUCAAAUAGACAUCCUCAGCCUUCUUGACUCUCUUCCACAGGACUUUUGACCCCUGAAAGCCAGCCUUUGAAGAUGAUGUCAUGAUGGUACUUUGUUGGAGCUUUCAGGGAAGGUGAAAGGGUCUUCAGGUCGGGAGUUGGAGGUAAAGGUUGAGGAGGCGGUUUCUCCUAGAGACUUGGACGUGGGAGAUGUUGUGGAGGAGGAGGAUUUUGUAGCCCCCCUAAUAAUUUUGUCAAGCUGAGUAAUUGUUUGGGGAUGCUAGUAGUGGCUUUGGAAAAGUAAAUCGGGUUUCUUCUUAGGAAAUUGGAUUCGAAAAAAAUGCAUGGGGUUAAGGUGUCAGGGGGAAAAAGGAAACCCUUGGCUUCUUUUCAGUUAGAGAGGGAAAUCUGAAAGCUUGAAUGUUUAGUCAAUUAUAGUAGCACUCUGUCCACCAUAAAGGGAAAGGGGAGGGGUGCUGGGAAUUAACAGAAGGGAUCAUAGGUGGUCUUUGCAAGUUUCUAUCCCUGAAAGGGGUUUCUCCAGUGAGGUGUGUAGGUAGU
rnacentral:lncRNA from 1 species